rnacentral:rRNA from 1 species
UGGGGAAUAUUGGGCAAUGGGCGCAAGCCUGACCCAGCAACGCCGCGUGAAGGAAGAAGGCCCUCGGGUUGUAAACUUCUUUGACAGGGGAAGAAAGAAAUGACGGUACCCUGAAAACAAGCCACGGCUAACUACGUGCCAGCAGCCGCGGUAAUACGUAGGUGGCAAGCGUUAUCCGGAUUUACUGGGUGUAAAGGGCGUGUAGGCGGGCGUGCAAGUCAGGUGUGUAAUUUCGGGGCUCAACCCCGAAACUGCACUUGAAACUGUGCGUCUUGAGUGAUGGAGAGGCAGGCGGAAUUCCUAGUGUAGCGGUGAAAUGCGUAGAUAUUAGGAGGAACACCAGUGGCGAAGGCGGCCUGCUGGACAUUAACUGACGCUGAGGCGCGAAAGCGUGGGGAGC